rnacentral:lncRNA from 1 species
GGGGGUGCGCGGAUUUGUAGGUAUAAUAGAUUUUGUACAUAUUUGUAGGGAAUCUAUUUUUAUUUAGUGCGUGGAUGUUAUCUUUUAAUAAUUUACUUUUUUCGUAAAAUAUAUUCAUUAAUUAUUUUAUCCUGUAGUAAUUACAGAGUUACAAAUUCUUGUAUAAUAAUUUAUCCUAUCUGUGCUAUAAUAUAUAUCUAAUUCUAGAUUUUCAAUGUUAUUUAUUAUUUUGUGUUGUUCUUCUCGUAGUGAGUUUUUUAAAUUAUAUAAACUAUCACAUGUACUUUUAUCUAAAUUUUCUAAGGUUUUUUCUAUCCAUAUUAAUUUUUCUUUUAG